GUCCCAGUUCAGAUCGCAGUCUGCAACCCGACUGCGUGAAGCCGGAAUCGCUAGUAAUCGCGGAUCAGAAUGCCGCGGUGAAUACGUUCCCGGGCCUUGUACACACCGCCCGUCACACCAUGGGAGUCGGUAACACCCGAAGUCGGUAGCCUAACCGUAAGGAGGGCGCCGCCGAAGGUGGGAUUGAUGACUGGGGUGAAGUCGUAACAAGGUACC
rnacentral:rRNA from 1 species